GCUGGGCAUGGUGGUGUAUGCCUGAAAUCCCAGUGGUUUGGGAGGCUGAGGCAAGAGGAUCACAAGUUCAAAGCCAGUCCCAGAAAAAGUGAGGCCCUAAACAACUCAUUGAGACCCUGUCUCUA
rnacentral:sRNA from 1 species